rnacentral:lncRNA from 1 species
AAUUUAUUGACCUAAUUCUAGACUGGGUUUUUUUCGCCGGAGUAUGUUACACGGACCAAGAACCUAUGCAAAGUGAAAAUGCAUUGAAAUAUUCGAUCCUUUCGUUUGCAAUUGUUGGAACGAUUACGUUUUUUCUUCAAGUAGCAGCAAUGGUUUAUAGUUACAGGAAGAAUUACACACAUUUAACAUUCAUAACAACGGUGACAUUUAUAUCAACUUGGAUUGAAGAUGUCCCCCAAGUUAGCAUGGCCGUUAGGGUAUCAGUCAUUUCGUCCGACCCAAUUUCUAAAGUACAAUAUGCGAAAGCAAUAUACGCAAUAAUAGUUGCAUCGCUCCAUAUCAUAUUUGCGAUUAAGGAACUAUGUAAUAAAUGGGAAAAGUUCAUGUUUAAAGGAAAUGGAAAAUAUCUCAUAAGGCUUCUUGUAUUGGAUUUAAUUGGUGGCUUCGUGCUUCUGGGAAUGUCAAUUUUCCUUCUUAUAGAACUUUGGUUAGAUAAAUUUACUCAAGUUAAUUCAACUCUUUGUUGUCAUAAUAUCACAACUA